CAUGCAAGUCGAACGCAGUAGCAAUACUGAGUGGCAAACGGGUGAGUAUAAUGUGGGAAUCUGCCUUUUGGUUUGGAAUAACACGGGGAAACUUGUGCUAAUACCGAAUAAGCCCUCACGGGGAAAGUUUUAACGCCGAAAGAUGAGCCUGCACUUGAUUAGCUAGUUGGUAAGGUAAAGGCUUACCAAGGCAACGAUCAAUAGCUGUUCUUAGAGGAAGACCAGCCACAUUGGGACUGAGACACGGCCCAGACUCCUACGGGAGGCAGCAGUGGGGAAUCUUGCACAAUGGGGGAAACCCUGAUGCAGCGAUGCCGCGUGAGUGAAGAAGGCCUUUGGGUUGUAAAACUCUUUCGUCGGGGAAGAAAAUGACUGUACCCGAAUAAGAAGGUCCGGCUAACUUCGUGCCAGCAGCCGCGGUAAUACGAAGGGACCUAGCGUAGUUCGGAAUUACUGGGCUUAAAGAGCUCGUAGGUGGUUAAAAAAGUUGAUGGUGAAAUCCCAAGGCUCAACCUUGGAACUGCCAUCAAAACUUUUUAGCUAGAGUGUGAUAGAGGUAAGUGGAAUUUCUAGUGUAGAGGUGAAAUUCGUAGAUAUUAGAAAGAACACCAAAUGCGAAGGCAACUUACUGGGUCACUACUGACA
rnacentral:rRNA from 1 species